GAUGAACGCUAGCGACAGGCCUAACACAUGCAAGUCGAGGGGCAGCACAUGAGUAGCAAUACGAUGGUGGCGACCGGCGCACGGGUGAGUAUCGCGUAUGCAACCUACCUUCCACAGGGGGAUAGCCUUCCGAAAGGGAGAUUAAUACCGCAUAAAACAGGGGCCCCGCAUGGGGAUAUUUGUUAAAGAUUUAUCGGUGGGAGAUGGGCAUGCGUUCCAUUAGCUAGUUGGCGGGGUAAUGGCCCACCAAGGCAUCGAUGGAUAGGGGAACUGAGAGGUUUAUCCCCCACACUUGAACUGAGACACGGUCCAGACUCCUACGGGAGGCAGCAGUGAGGAAGAUUGGUCAAUGGGCGGGAGCCUGAACCAGCCAAGUCGCGUGAAGGAAGACGGUUCUAUGGAUUGUAAACUUCUUUUGCACUGGGGUAAAACGGGGGACGUGUCCCCCCUUGCAAGUACAGUGCGAAUAAGCAUCGGCUAACUCCGUGCCAGCCGCCGCAGUAA
rnacentral:rRNA from 1 species